ACUGCCAAGAACUGCUCCUGCUGCCACCACCAACCCCCAUGGCCUACAUUCCAGAUGGGGGUGCCCCCGCCCCAGGGGCCAUCCCCUUGGGCUCUCAGUGCUGUGUGUGCAAAGUGGAGCUGUCAGUGAGUGGUCAGAACCUGCUGGACCGGGACGUCACCUCCAAGUCUGACCCCUUCUGUGUCCUCUUUACCGAGGACAACGGCAGGUGGACGGAGUAUGACAGAACCGAGACGGCCGUCAACAACCUCAACCCAGCCUUCUCCAAGAAGUUCGUGCUGGACUACCACUUCGAGGAGGUGCAGAAGCUCAAGUUCGCCCUGUUCGACCAGGACAAGUCCAGCGCGCAGCUGGACGAACAUGACUUCCUGGGUCAGUUCUCCUGCAGCCUUGGCACGAUUGUCUCCAGCAAGAAGAUCACCAGGCCUCUGCUGCUGAUGAAUGACAAGCCUGCGGGGAAGGGCUUGAUCACGAUCGCAGCCCAGGAACUGUCAGACAACCGCGUCAUCACGCUGAGCCUGGCCGGCAGGAAGCUGGAUAAGAAGGACCUCUUCGGGAAGUCAGACCCGUUUCUUGAAUUUUACAAGCCAGGGGACGAUGGCAAAUGGAUGCUAGUCCAUAGGACCGAGGUGAUCAAGUACACUCUGGACCCUGUGUGGAAGCCGUUCACUGUGCCACUGGUGUCCUUGUGUGAUGGGGACAUGGAGAAGCCCAUCCAGGUUAUGUGCUACGACUACGACAGUAAUGGAGGCCACGACUUCAUCGGCGAGUUUCAAACCUCUGUGCUGCAGAUGAAUGAGGCUCGGGAUGGCGUCCCGCUGGAGAUGGAAUGCAUCAACCCCAAAAAGCAGAGGAAGAAGAAGAGCUACAAGAACUCGGGUAUCAUUAUCCUGAGAUCAUGCAAGAUACACCGGAACUACUCAUUCUUGGACUACAUCCUGGGAGGCUGCCAGCUCAUGUUCACCGUUGGCAUAGACUUCACAGCCUCCAACGGGAAUCCCCUCGACCCUUCUUCUCUGCACUAUAUCAACCCCAUGGGCACCAACGAAUACCUGUCAGCCAUCUGGGCGGUAGGACAGAUCAUCCAGGACUACGACAGUGAUAAGAUGUUCCCUGCUCUGGGGUUUGGGGCCCAGUUACCUCCAGACUGGAAGGUGUCCCAUGAGUUUGCCAUCAACUUCAACCCCACCAACCCUUUCUGCUCAGGUGUGGAUGGCAUUGCCCAGGCGUACUCAGCCUGCCUGCCCCAUAUCCGCUUCUACGGUCCCACCAACUUCUCCCCUAUCGUCAACCACGUGGCCCGGUUUGCAGCCCAGGCCACACAGCAGCAGACGGCAACGGAUGGGGCUAGAGAGGAAGAUGUUUCACCUCCCCUGGUUCCCUGGCCAGGCCCAGACGACAGUGCUUCCACACAGGCUCUUCCCCACACUGCAUGGCGACUCACUGGCCCCCCACGGCCACCUCCUUUUGGUCUGACUCCGCCUUGCCGUUCUUGCCUCUGUUCCAACUUAGCAGCCUCUUGGCCCUCGAUUCCGUACCUGUCGGUUCUAGAUUCAGCCACAUGGGCCAGGGCUCAGUGUACUCAAUUCACUAUAGACCCUAAGCCUGGCACAGUGCCUGACAGAUGACAGGAACACAGUGCUCUGUAGGUAGAUGGGAUCAGGUCUGUGAGACCAUGCUGCUAGCCUAUCCCAAAGGGAAGACUCUCCACCAUGAAGAAGGGGCCCGCUGUUCAGAGGAAGGAGGCACCUGGUCACUGGGGAAGCAGAGAAAAAGGGAGGUAAGAGCUGAGAAGAGGACACAGGGCUGGCUCUGGGAAGAACUGGGUCUGUCCUAACUGUCUUGGAGGCAGAUAAGGCUCUGGGGAGGAAGCCCGUCCCAGUCGUGUGCUCUACGCCUCUUUCCAUGCGCCUAGAGCACAUCAGUGUCCUGUUGGUGUCACAGAGGGUCAUGCCAGGCUGCCCAGGUCAGCAUUUGAUAAUCCUGGAGUACCCCCACGCGAGGCCUUGAACAAGUGAGUGGGAAUAGUGCCCACAAAGUGCUGAGGGAGGGACAGCCAGGAAGGGGCUAGUGGUCUGUACCGUGCAUUAGAUGAGUCUCUCAGUUUGCAGCUGAGAACUCAGAUUCCUGCUUCUCUUUAAGCCCAUUUCCUCUGACACGGUGGGGGUGCUGACCCCUGUGGUGAUGUAAGAUGGGGUGACCUGAAUGGACGGUAACUCUGUGAGGCCUGGCGGGGACCGUGUUCUGUUGUUGUUCUUUAGUUGCUGGGGAUUCUGAGAUAGAAUAGCUUGGAUAGGGCAGAGUAGUGAGCAGCCUUCAGCUUCACUUCCCUCUUGUGAGGGUGCCAAGCUUGGUGCCAACAAGGCUGUUGGCUAUAUGAGUCUUAGAAAGGAAUGAAGACAGGCCUGCUUUCUUCUUUAGGAAAAACCAUCUGGGCGGGGAACACAAACACAUUCCAGUAGUAUGCCCAGCCUCUGCUUCCUGCCAUACCUGCUGCCAGCCAGGAGUCAGCUGGGCAGGAGGUAGGGUUUGGAGACGUGUGGCUUCAUGAUGGAGGGACUCCAGGUCUCUAGGGUCUUGUCCACUCCUCUUCACCCAUGAGAGCCUCACCUUUGUUUUGUUGUCUGCGCUCAGACACCUGCUCUGACCCCUCUGGAAUCAGUCCCAUUUGGUCUUACUUGCUAUUGCAAGCCACCCUUGGCUUCCUGGGGUAAGCUGUUACCCCUCAGGCCUUGUGACUUCAGAUGAUGCCUAAGCAUCUCUAACUGAGAGAGUAGGGCCCGGAGUCUCUACUGUUCCUCCCGCUCUGAGGCCCAGGAGUAGAUGCAGACUUCUCCACCACUUGCCUCCACCCUCUCCACCAAAGGAGGUGAGUCGGGCUGUGGGGUGGCUCAAGCUCAAGGGGAAAGAACCUAGUUCGAGCCUCAUCUCCCCCACUUUCUGGUUGUGCUACUAGGGCAGGUAGUUGAAGCUCUCUGAGCUUUGGUUUUUCUCAUCCAGCACUUUCCUUCUGUAGGUAACGUAGGGAUUCAACCAAAUACGCAUGCGCACUGUUCAGCCUAGAGCCUGGCACACGCGAUGUGUUAGUUAUGAGAAUGUCGGAGGGCACUGCGCAGGCUAGCAUUUGGUAAUGCUGUGCACCGUGAGGCCCACGGCAAACAGAAGUAACUGGAGUGCUAGCUGCUGCUUCUGUUUAGCCAUGUUUUGGUGCUGGGGAAGCUGAUGUGACGUCACCCCCCGGUUCCCUCACAUCUGCACACACAGCACAUCCACAUGUAGGAAACGGAGGGCAGGUGGCAGUGUCUCCAGCGGGCCUCGCUCUUCCAUUCAUUUGGUCCGUGUGUCUUUUCUGAGCAUUGCUGUGUAACCUUAAGGAUGCCUGGACAAGGGCGGUCCAGCUUAUAGGCUAGCGGGAGUUAGCUGGGAGGCCACAGCAACGAUGCAGUGUGGCCAAGCCUCUGAUGGCUGCAGUGCAGGACCAUACAGACGGUACCUAACUGACAGAGGACACAAGGAAAGGUGGAUGCUUAGAAGGGGAUGUCCAGACUUAGACUUGAGAGACUCUUAAGAGUUAGCUUCCUGGGGUUAUAUCUGUGCAUUUAUACAUGUGUGCGUGUGUAUAAUGGCCCAGCAAGGGGAACAGCACGUCCAAAGGCAUGUGUGCGUGUAGUGGAUAGGAGUGACAGCGCAGGCAAGGUUGAGAAGGCUGGCACCCUUGGAAGCCAUUGGUGCUCUGUGUGGUUUCCUCCUGAGGGCAAUGAGGAGCCACUGGAGGGUAAUGGGCAGGUUUGAGUGGCCUGAAAGUGGCCUCUGCUUUGGUCAGUAAGGCCUUGUCUUUUGUGGCCCAUUCCUGGUUGGUGGCCUAAGCAUCCAGUGUCAGAUGGAGUAUAGGCAGCAGCCAGCCUCCUAGGAAUGUCUUUUACUCCCAUCCCAGGGCCUUUGGCAGAAACUGCCAGCUUCCCCAGACUCUGCCUGGAACUGUUGUGGUCAUGUCCGUUUAUCAUGAACCCGGUCAUCGGGGCAUUAGGAGAAGUGGCUGUGCACAGUCCUAGCACCGAUGCAUGCCUGGAAUCUUUGAAUGUACUGGGAGUUGGCUCGGGGAGUCUAUUUGAUGACAUACUGGAGGCUUGCAUUGGAUUCCAGGCCCCUGACAUGCAGUGUGUGUUGGGUUGUCAGGAGCACCUAGGGUGCAGGGAAGGAGUGUGCAGAGGGGUCUCCUGUGGAAUCAUCACUGGCCGUAGAAGCAGAGGGCACAUUUACUUGGGACAGAGGAUUCGACACUCACUUAAGAGCUGUGGCUAGGAAGGGGAUCAGAAGGGACCAGCACAAUAGGGACACCAGGACUUCAGAGUCCCUUUCCACCCCUUCUAUCCAUUCUCUCCCUCCACAGCCCUUCUGAUUUGCUCUGGGGACCUCUGGAGGUGGUGGUGGACCUCUGAAGCUCCAGGUUAUGAACCUGGCUUUGUCCCAGCUGGCGAUGGCACCCAGGAGGGAAGGUUUAUAGCCAGGCUUCUGGACUUUGCCCUAGGUCACUGUCCCAAUCACUCACUUUCCAAUCCCAGGUUAAUGGGUGACAAGAUAGCUCACCGUGUCCACCUACCAAUACAGUGGAUGGCAGAGGACAGCAUGGAAGGAGCCCCAGCUUUGUGGUCAGCAGUACUUCAUCCUCCUCAUCAUCACCGACGGGGUCAUCAGCGACAUGGAGGAGACACGGCACGCCGUGGUGCAGGCCUCCAAGCUGCCCAUGUCCAUUAUCAUUGUGGGG